rnacentral:rRNA from 1 species
UGCGCAGGCGGUUGGGUGUGUCAGGUGUGAAAUCUCGGGGCUUAACCCCGAAACAGCGCUUGAAACUAUUCAACUAGAGUUUUGGAGGGGUAAGCGGAAUUCUAGGUGUAGCGGUGAAAUGCGUAGAUAUCUAGAGGAACACCAAAGGCGAAGGCAGCUUACUGGCCAAAUACUGACGCUCAUGCACGAAAGCGUGGGGAGCAAAAG